GCGGGAAGUGAUUAGUGGCGAACGGGUGAGUAAUACGUGAGUAACCUGCCCUUGACUCUGGGAUAAGCCUGGGAAACCGGGUCUAAUACUGGAUACGACCCCCUAUCGCAUGGUGGGGGGUGGAAAGGGUUUGACUGGUUUUGGAUGGGCUCACGGCCUAUCAGCUUGUUGGUGGGGUAAUGGCUCACCAAGGCGACGACGGGUAGCCGGCCUGAGAGGGUGACCGGCCACACUGGGACUGAGACACGGCCCAGACUCCUACGGGAGGCAGCAGUGGGGAAUAUUGCACAAUGGGCGCAAGCCUGAUGCAGCGACGCCGCGUGAGGGAUGACGGCCUUCGGGUUGUAAACCUCUUUCAGCAGGGAAGAAGCCACAAGUGACGGUACCUGCAGAAGAAGCGCCGGCUAACUACGUGCCAGCAGCCGCGGUAAUACGUAGGGCGCAAGCGUUGUCCGGAAUUAUUGGGCGUAAAGAGCUCGUAGGCGGUUUGUCGCGUCUGCUGUGAAAGCCCGGGGCUCAACCCCGGGUCUGCAGUGGGUACGGGCAGACUAGAGUGCAGUAGGGGAGACUGGAAUUCCUGGUGUAGCGGUGAAAUGCGCAGAUAUCAGGAGGAACACCGAUGGCGAAGGCAGGUCUCUGGGCUGUUACUGACGCUGAGGAGCGAAAGCAUGGGGAGCGAACAGGAUUAGAUACCCUGGUAGUCCAUGCCGUAAACGUUGGGCACUAGGUGUGGGGGACAUUCCACGUUCUCCGCGCCGUAGCUAACGCAUUAAGUGCCCCGCCUGGGGAGUACGGCCGCA
rnacentral:rRNA from 1 species